UUGAAUAAACUGAAUUUACGGGAAUGCACACGCAUUCAGAUAUCGCAUGUUAGAAAUUUAUCAAGGAUUAUCGCUUACGGUUGUAAAAGUCUUCUUUCGUCUAUGUUGUAUUGUUCCAAUUUAUUAUACAUGAGCUUCCGAUAGCUAGUACGUGUCUCAUCUUGAUCAGUAUCUUCUAUAGGGUUCUUCUUCUUCAGGGUGAGCCGCGUUAUGAGCCAGAGCACGUUGUAUCGCUACUGGAAUCGGUGGUGGUGUUGGCAAAUGUGCACCGUUAGGUUGAAAACCAUUCUCGUCAGCAGUAUUCAAUUUGAUUUGGUCCAAUAAACUUUGGAACGCC
rnacentral:misc_RNA from 1 species